rnacentral:rRNA from 1 species
AUCGUAACUCCUACGGGAGGCAGCAGUGAGGAAUAUUGGUCAAUGGACGCAAGUCUGAACCAGCCAAGUAGCGUGCAGGAUGACGGCCCUAUGGGUUGUAAACUGCUUUUAUGUGGGAAUAAAUUGGCGCACGUGUGCGCCAUUGCAUGUACCUCAUGAAUAAGGACCGGCUAAUUCCGUGCCAGCAGCCGCGGUAAUACGGAAGGUCCGGGCGUUAUCCGGAUUUAUUGGGUUUAAAGGGAGUGUAGGCGGUCUGUUAAGCGUGUUGUGAAAUUUAGGUGCUCAACAUUUAACUUGCAGCGCGAACUGUCAGACUUGAGUACACGCAGCGCAGGCGGAAUUCAUGGUGUAGCGGUGAAAUGCUUAGAUAUCAUGAGGAACUCCGAUCGCGAAGGCAGCCUGCGGGAGUGUUACUGACGCUUAAGCUCGAAGGUGCGGGUAUCGAACAGGAUUAGAAACCCCGGUAGUCCUAGAGC